AUGGAAGGGACACUGGGGACCCACCGCUGUGAGACAGAGGUGCUCUCUGACAUCACCAGCUGGAAUGGAAGGGAAUCGAAAGAGGAACUGUUCCUUCCCAGGGACUCAGGGUUACUGACGGGCCACUGGUCUCUCUCAACUCCUAGUGCUGGGACACUGUCUGCAGGUCAUCAUCUUGGCCCUUGUUUUCCUCCUCAGAUCACAGCAGUGCAGCUUCAGUCAUCCUGCCAUCGGGACCUCCUUGUCAUCCAGUCCUGUGGUCUCGUCAUCAUCCUCAUCAUACGGUUCUCUUGUGAGGCUCUCCUUGGCCCAUGGGUAUCAGGUUCCCCUCAGAAAAGAGAAGAACAGGGGAGCCUGGGCGGCUCAGCCAUUGAGCAUCUACCUUCAGCUCAGAUCAUGAUCCUGGAGUCCCAAGAUCAAGUCCCGCAUCGGGUUCCCUGCUUCUUUGGGAAUCUAUUUCUUCCUCUCCAGUUCUUCCUCUGACCUCUCCGCCCCAUGCUUUCUCUCUCUCUCUCUCUCUCAAAUAAAUAAAUAAAUAAAUAAAUAAAUAAAUAAAUA
rnacentral:lncRNA from 12 species